rnacentral:rRNA from 1 species
UACGGAGGAUGCAAGCGUUAUCCGGAAUGAUUGGGCGUAAAGCGUCCGCAGGUGGCAAUGUAAGUCUGCUGUUAAAGAGUCUAGCUCAACUAGAUAAAAGCAGUGGAAACUACAUAGCUAGAGUACGUUCGGGGCAGAGGGAAUUCCUGGUGUAGCGGUGAAAUGCGUAGAGAUCAGGAAGAACACCAGUGGCGAAGGCGCUCUGCUAGGCCGUAACUGACACUGAGGGACGAAAAGCUAGGGGGAGCGAAUGGG